rnacentral:sRNA from 1 species
GAUAAGGGGUGAUGCUUAUGGUUAAGAGCUUUGUCCCUGGAAAGGAAUAAAGUUGUCAGUAUAUGAAGCAAUACAACUCAUGCUCGCAUUUGCGACAUUUGUGCUGUUGCUAAUUGACAAAAAAGACCAAAAAAAUAACCAUCUAAACCACUUUUAGCCAAGUUUUUAGAUGGUCAAUACUAUAAAAAAGCUACCGUCUUUUUAACGGCACGAAUUACUGAUGAAGGGAUUGUUUGCGCAAUCCCUU